rnacentral:lncRNA from 1 species
GCAGACAGCCCGGCGAACCGCGCAAUGCGCUUCUUCUGCCUGCAGCAGAGAAAAGGAAAGAAAACUCCGCAGGGGCUCCGUUGGCUUCUCCACGAGUGACAACCAUGUUUUCCCAGAUAGAAGACCGGAGCCCUGCUCCUUUGCGAUCCGCCGAGGGCUGCAGAGAGCAUCCUCAUCCAUUUGGGCACCCCUGCCCAGGAAGAGCCCGGCCAUCCCUUUCCGGACUGGAUCCUUAAGAGGUGAAUUUUCUUCCGUGGAUUCCGAUUUGCUCCGUCUGACCAGCCUAGGCAAUCCAGCAUCGCGUGGUACCAGUGCCGCUGGGCACACUGGCUUCACGCCGGCUCCGCCUCACCAGCAAGCGCAUUCCCAGGUGGUCAGGCUCAGGAUGGACCAUGAGCUUUCAAAAAGGAAAAAGGUGGAAAUCCUCAACUAUGCUGCCAUCUGAAUAAGUGUUUCUUUGUAGAUGCACAGAGUCAAGGAAAAUUACAUCCCUGCAUUAUCUUUUUCUGGAGGAAAUUCGCAUUUGAAUUGAUGGACUGAAUAAAGCAGAUUGCAGUCCCCAGUGUGGAUGGGCUUGAUCCAGUCUUCUAAGGACCCAAAUAAAAUAGGUGGAGGAAGCUUGAAUUUUCUGCCUGACUGUGGCGCUGGGACACCCAUCUUCUCCUGCCCUUGAACUGGGACUGACACCAUCAGUGCUCCUGGUUCUCAGACCUUCGGACAGCAGACUUGGGGCCUUCUCGGCCUCCAUUAUUGUAGGAGAAAAUGAGACACUGAGUGGGACUCAGGGAUUGCUCCAGGCCACACAGUCAGCAGGAGGCAAAGCCCAGAUUCAAAUGCAGAUUACUCAGCUCCACAAUCCACAUCCUCACAGGAGGCUGCACUCCUUGCCCAAGCGUCAGACAGGAGCAAAGAGAAAGAAGGCAACCAGCUGGCUACUUUCUUCCCUUCUUGGAUGCCUCCAACAGGGUGAGAAGGACUAAACAAAUGACCAAGUGUCAUCCCAUUUUGGACAUACUUAAAACACCCCAUGGAAUUUUUAUUCUGACUUUCUUCUGCCUGUGUGGCAUUUAUGUUUAAAUAAAAGAGAAUUCAACUCGUA